AUUGAACGCUGGCGGCAUGCCUUACACAUGCAAGUCGAACGGCAGCACGGGUGCUUGCACCUGGUGGCGAGUGGCGGACGGGUGAGUAAUACAUCGGAAGAAGUCCUGCGGUGGGGGAGGGCCCGGCGGUAGACGGAUUAAUACCGCAUACGAACUACGGAUGAAAGAGGGGGGCCGUCGUGCCUCGCGCUCUCUGGUUGGGCGGCGGCUGUUUGAUUAGUUAGUUGGUGGGGUAAAGGCCUACCAAGGCGACGAUCGGUAGAUGGUCUGAGAGGACGACCCGCCACACUGGGACUGAGACACGGCCCAGACUCCUACGGGAGGCAGCAGUGGGGAAUCUUGGACAAUGGGCGCAAGCCUGAUCCAGCAAUGCCGCGUGUGUGAAGAAGGCCUUCGGGUUGUAAAGCACUUUUGUCCGGAAAGAAAUCCGUGGCGCUAAUACAGUCGGGGGAUGACGGUACCGGAAGAAUAAGCACCGGCUAACUACGUG
rnacentral:rRNA from 1 species